rnacentral:rRNA from 1 species
AGUCAGUGGGGGUAGACGCGAAACCAAGUGAUCUACACUUGGCCAGGAUGAAGUCCCGGUAACACGGGAUGGAGGUCCGCACCAAUAAGCGUUGAAAAGCUUCUGGAUGAGCCGAGUGUAGGAGUGAAAGGCCAAUCAAACUUGGAGAUAGCUCGUACUCCCCGAAAGGCAUUUAGGUGCCGCGUCGGAUGGUCACCGUGAGAGGUAGAGCGACCGAUAGGACAAGAGGGCUUCACCGCCUAUCGAGUCCUGACGAACUCCGAAUGCUCACGGUCUGCAGUCCGGCAGUAAGGGGGCGGGUGCUAAGGUCCGUCCCCGAGAGGAGAAGAAUCCAGACCGCCGUCUAAGGUCCCGGAGUUCUGCCUGAGUUAGUCUAACGAAGUCUGGUCCCUAUGACAGCUAGGAUGUUGGCUUGGAAGCAGCCAUUCAUUCAAAGAGUGCGUAACAGCUCACUAGUCGAGGGUCCGGGCAUGGAUAAUAAUCGGGUAUAAGGCAGACACCGAAGGCGCGGGAUAGCAUUUAAGAAAGUAUCGGUAGGGGAGCAUACUCACAGCGUGGAAUGGUGUACGUAAGUUAUCCUGGAGCGGUGAGUAAAGCAAAUGUAGGAAUAAGUAACGAUAAGGAGGGUUAGAUUCCCUCCCGCUGUAAGACCAAGGUUUCCCGGGCAAUGCCAAUCAGCCCGGGGUCAGUCGGGUCCUAAGUCUAAGCCGAACGGCGAUGGCGAUGGCAGAGACGGUUAAUAUUCCGUCACUGCCGCAUGGGGCGACGUGGAGACGGAGCAGUGAAACCACCGCGGGGCGACGGAAGUCCCCGUUGAAGAGUGUAGGUGUUGAGGAUGGCAGGCAAAUCCACCGUCCGAGCUGAACUUGAUAGUAUGGAGUCUUCUUCGGAAGAAUCCAAUAGUGUGGGUAAUCAUACUCCCGAGAAAAUCCGCUAAGCUUAACCCAUGCGGCACCCGUACCGCAAACGGACACACGUGGUCGGGUAGAACAUACUAAGGCGUUGAGAGAUUCAUGGUUAAGGAACUAGGCAAAUUGACCCUGUAACUUCGGGAUAAAGGGUCCUCGUGAUGAGCGAGGCGCAGAGAAUAGGUCCAGGCAACUGUUUAACAAAAACACAGGGCUGUGCAAACUCGAAAGAUGACGUAUACAGCCUGACACCUGCCCGGUGCCGGAAGGUUAAGAGGAGAUGUCACUCGCAAGAGGAAGCAUUGAAUUGAAGCCCCGGUAAACGGCGGCCGUAACUAUAACGGUCCUAAGGUAGCGAAAUUCCUUGUCGGGU